GACGGGUGAGAAUCCCGUCCACCGAUUGACUAAGGUUUCCAGAGGAAGGCUCGUCCGCUCUGGGUUAGUCGGGUCCUAAGCUGAGGCCGACAGGCGUAGGCGAUGGAUAACAGGUUGAUAUUCCUGUACCACCUAUAAUCGUUUUAAUCGAUGGGGGGACGCAGUAGGAUAGGCGAAGCGUGCGAUUGGAUUGCACGUCUAAGCAGUAAGGCUGAGUAUUAGGCAAAUCCGGUACUCGUUAAGGCUGAGCUGUGAUGGGGAGAAGACAUUGUGUCUUCGAGUCGUUGAUUUCACACUGCCGAGAAAAGCCUCUAGAUAGAAAAUAGGUGCCCGUACCGCAAACCGACACAGGUAGUCAAGAUGAGAAUUCUAAGGUGAGCGAGCGAACUCUCGUUAAGGAACUCGGCAAAAUGACCCCGUAACUUCGGGAGAAGGGGUGCUCUUUAGGGUUAACGCCCAGAAGAGCCGCAGUGAAUAGGCCCAAGCGACUGUUUAUCAAAAACACAGGUCUCUGCUAAACCGUAAGGUGAUGUAUAGGGGCUGACGCCUGCCCGGUGCUGGAAGGUUAAGAGGAGUGGUUAGCUUCUGCGAAGCUACGAAUCGAAGCCCCAGUAAACGGCGGCCGUAACUAUAACGGUCCUAAGGUAGCGAAAUUCCUUGUCGGGUAAGUUCCGACCCGCACGAAAGGCGUAACGAUUUGGGCACUGUCUCAACGAGAGACUCGGUGAAAUCAUAGUACCUGUGAAGAUGCAGGUUACCCGCGACAGGACGGAAAGACCCCGUGGAGCUUUACUGUAGCCUGAUAUUGAAAUUCGGCACAGCUUGUACAGGAUAGGUAGGAGCCUUUGAAACGUGAGCGCUAGCUUACGUGGAGGCGCUGGUGGGAUACUACCCUAGCUGUGUUGGCUUUCUAACCCGCACCACUUAUCGUGGUGGGAGACAGUGUCAGGCGGGCAGUUUGACUGGGGCGGUCGCCUCCUAAAAGG
rnacentral:rRNA from 1 species